rnacentral:lncRNA from 1 species
AAACCCUUUCACUUUGGUCAAAAAAUCUAACAGCUCUAUUAUUUAAUACAUUAUCACUUCAUUAGAAGUUGAAGCAAAGAUUAAGCACAUAUGCUUUACACAUUUAUAUAUAUGGCCUACGUUCAAAAGUAAAAACCAAAAAUCCAAAAUGAAAUAAAUUAAUUGAGACGUGCACAAACCUAACAUAAAACUUAUGUACUUUUUUAUUGAUAAGAGGGCAUUACAUUAUAAAUAUAGUCCAUGAGCUUUUUUCAAGCAAGAUGGACAGAAGCUUUUGCUUUUUUCUUUUCAUCACUCAACAAAACACACACUAUAGAUUAUGAUAGAUAUAUAGACCUUGUUUAAUUACUGGGAAUACCAUUUUUCAACAAGUUUCACAAAACAAUAACCACUUGACUUGAUAUAUAUAAGAGCACACAGGACACAAUUCCAAGAGUAAAUUAAAUAGGACAACAUUAAUAUUGCAUGCAAUGCAAGAAGAUCCAAACUUUGUUGAUCAAUGGAGACCACCACCACCAAAGCCUCCACCAAAACCUCCACCAAGUCCACCACCUCCUCCUCCACCAAAACCACCACCACCACCGGCGCCGCCACCAAACCCUCCCCCUGCUCCACCACCUCCACCAAGACCACCACCACCUCCUAGACCACUUCCCGCACCGCCACCAAAACCACCACCUGCACCACCACCAGCACCUCCACCAAAACCACCACCUGCACCUCCGCCAAAACCACCUCCACCUCCUAAGCCACCACCACCACCAAGAAACUUUUUACUAUAAAUCCCAUGUCCUAAACCCCCACCAAAACGACGAUUCUUAAACAGUAACUUCUCAUUUUCAACUUCCUUGUUAACAACAUCAGCAUGGACAUAAUUUUCUACAACAAAUACAAGCAAGAGAAUAAAAAUUCCAACACUACGAGCAGAUAAUAAUAAACCCAUUAUUUAUGACCCAAAUUCUUAAACCCUAUGUAUAAGAAAUGAACUAAAAUUUAGGACAUGCAAGAAUGUUUACUAUAUGAGCCUAUUAUAUAGUGCAAGAAAAUCACACAUGGUCUUUGUAACUCUUAACUGUCACCUUCUACUUUAAUUGAGUAAAUGCAUGCUUGCUAUACUCUCCAGUUGGUUAGAACUUAGAAGAUUUAAUUCUUGCAACUGUCCCUCUCCCCACACUAUGGCGCACUUAUGUUGAAUUUUGCGGUGCUUCGGUACUCUUAAUUCUGAUGUAGAUUAGAUAUAAUAAUAUAAGAAAUGUAUAAAAGUACAUUGGCAUAGGAUUUAAAAGCACUUUGAGAAUCAAGAAAAUAGCGUUGGAUGUUUGGUUUUCAUGCGGAACCUUAAGGGGUUUGAUAGAGUGUAUUGAAAUGUUAAUGCAUGCAUCAGUUUAAUGUGUAUUAGAAGUACCUUGUUUCGUAUACCUUUUUAACCUAUGUAUAACUAAUGCAAACAUUAGUUAUACACUCUAUUGUGUAUUGAGGUGUGUAUUACUAAUACCUCAAAAUCCAUGACAUUAGUAAUGCAAUGGAUGUACUGCAUGCAUUAACAUGCUUAAAGACCUUAUUACCCCUCAAAAAUUUUUCCAAAUCCUUUCCAACAUAUAUAUUGAGGGUAUUAUGUAAUAAUUUUUUUUAAAAAAAAUUAUGUAAUUCAUGUUUUUUUUUAAUAUAUCGAACCAAACACUGCAUAAGAAAAAUACAAGCAUAACUAACACAAGUAUUACUAAUACAAGCAUUACUAAUAUACCAUAUUUUGCAUUAUUCUUAUACACUCUAUCAAACAACCCCUAAAAUUAUUAGGUCAAUAUAUAUAUUUGAAUCUCUCGGACACCAUGAUCCUUAAAUCCUCGCUUUGCCACUAGCCCCACACACUUACAAAGUCACAAAGACAUAAUUAUUUUCAUUUUUGCUUUUAAUUUGACUUUUAGGGUGUCUCACAUUUAUUGUGAAUUUAUCCCAUAGUUCCACGUUACAAACAAAGACACUUUAGAACAAUGUGAAACAGUGGACGAAUCACAAUUUUCAGUAAAAUCAUGUGAAUAUAAAUCAUGGAUCCACCAAUGAGUCAACCAGUGUAAACUAGUGUUAGAAUAAAGAUUUUUCAAUAAACAACUUCAAUUUAUUGUGAUUCAGCAUCUAUUAUGUUCACAUAAAAAUAAUAAUUUUAAUUGUAAGUAUAUAUACUAUAAUUUUAUAUGUAUUCAAAAAUAAAUUCAAUUUAUUCUUUUGAUCAAACACAAUUUUUCAAAUAUCGAUUUUUAAUUUAAAAACAAAAACUUUUUUAUUUUACUCAUAAAUUCAUUGACUUGUGAACUACUUAUUAUAAUGAAUCAAAUAGAAGACUUCUUCCAUGAUAUCUAAACUUGAUGUUAUCUUGUGAGUUGGGUUCUUAAUAUUGUUGGGUCCUAAUUGUAUGCCAUUAAUGGUGUAAUUAAUCUAUUUUUUUCUGCCAACAGUUGGUGGUUAUCUUUCUCUUUCAUUGAAAAAUACUUUGGUCUAAAAGAUUCAUUGACUUUAUGAAGCAUGACUUUGUUCCUAUCACUACUCUUUCUAUAAGUCUUUCUUAAAGUAAGUAAUAAUAAUAUUAUAAUGAGUUUGUUAACAUCUCGAUUAAUCUACUAUUAUUUUUGUAAGUAAGUAAUAAUAGCGUUAUAAUCAAUUUAUGAACAUCUCGACUAAUCUACUAUUAUUUGUUUAUUGUAUACUAUCUGUUACACCUAUUUUUUUAACUCCAAAAGAUUUGAUAUUGAUUUUAAAGUUUGAAAGGAUUUUUAUUAUCAAAGUGACAAAAAGAUAAAAAUUUAUUUAAAAAAGAACCUUUUAUAUUCAAAACUCAGAGUCGCCACUUGACAUAAUCGGGUGUGCCAAGUCACCUUUGAAAGAUCCUUUUCAAAACGAUUUGACUCUAUAAACUGAUUUGCGAACAGAGAUUCCGGCUAAGGAAUUUUGUUGACCGAGGGGAAGGUGUUAGGCACCCCUCGAUCCCGUGGUUCGACCACAAUCGCUUGGUGGAGCGUAUCGGCUAAUUUUGACACUACGAAUGUACAAACCACAAAGAAGCAUGUAAAGCAAACAAACAAACCAAACAAAAUGAAUCAAAGUAUAGAGUUCAGUCCGAUUAUACAUUCCCAAAAUAAAUAAAAUAUAAAAAAUAAAUCCUAUCUAACCUAUACUAAUCCUAACUACGCUCCCAGGCUUUAUCCGAUGCCUCGGGCCUUCAUCACGAACAUCCUCCGAGUACAUGAUACGUCGGGGCAUUCCCUGGUGAAUAAGUACAAUGUGACCUCGGGGCAUUCCCCGAAGAAUGAAUACAUUUUCCAAAUGCGAGAAAAUCAAACCACUCAAAUGAAAUUUCAAACACUCAACAAAACCAUGAGUCCUAGACUUUGCCUACCCAAAACCUAGAUUUGCCUACCAAUCCUCGGUUUAAUACAUGAUACUAUCGACGUUCAACAUCAACAAUGAAUCAAAAUACCAUAAUAUUCACUUUUUACCGAUUUUCGAUUCCCACCCCAAAUUCAACUCAAGGUUCCAACGUAAUAAUUCACAAUUGCUACUUUCGACGAUCCAUAAUCAAUAACAAUGAAAUCAAACAAACAAAAUAAUAUCAUCAAAAUAUUCAUAUCAUGCUUCACACUAAACAAUCACACAUAUACAAUGAAAUUGAAAUGAGGACGAGAUAGAAUUGGACCUUACUUUUAUUUCAAUUCGGGCAUUUGGUUAGAGCUCUAAACACGAACCUCGAAUCAACAAUCUCAAUCCGAACCCCAACAUGGUAAAGCCUUCACUGUUUUUUUUGGCCAACCUGAACCUCCCUUCGAUCUGUAUGCGUGUGUGGAUCUCGUGAGGUCAGUGACGAUGGAAGUGCGUUUGUAUAUCGGCUGUGAGAGUGUGUGUUUACUGUGAGGUCAAUUGGAGUGUAUCCUGUGUGUCAUCUCCUCUCCCUUUUCUGCCUAAUCUCUCUCGCCUCCACCCUCUAUCGAUCUCUACCUCUCUCCAUCCCUCAAUUUUUCCAUGGAAACUGUGUGUGUGAAUCUUCUAAGAUCAGCGAGGACUGAGUGAAAGCUGUGUGGGUAUCAAUUGAGAGUGGUGAGUGUAUGUUCUGUUAUUCCCUCCUCUCCAUGGAAAAGGAAGUGUGUGCUUAUUGUGUAUUGUGAGGAUGAAAAAAAUGGAGUCUAUGUUUCCCUGGUGUGCGUAUUCUCGUUCAACGAAAAUUGAAGAGUCUAUGUAUAUAAGAUGAUGACAAAAACGUGACCCCCUUGUGUAUAUCUCUUCCUGGAAGGUUCCUUGUGGGGCCCACUUUCUUUAUGGAAAGGAAUAAUAAUAAUAAUAAAAAAAUGUGAGUGGACACGUGAGUAGGGUGGGGUGGUGAGGUGUCCGAUUUUAAUUGGAGAGAUUGUUAGGAUGGUUAAAAUAAGAUAAAAUUUUGUUAGAAAAUUUGUUAUUUUUGUAUUUUUGUGGGGUAUGAUUUCAUGGUUGAGGGGUACAUAAUAGGAUAAGCCGAUAAGGUAAAAAUGAGUAAAAGUGAUAUCAAGGAGGGACAAAAUUAGAUGUCUACACUAUCAUUAUAUAUAUAUGAAUCGAAUAACAAUUUUGUCAUUGAGAUCUAGACUAAUGAAAAAUAAUUCAUUAAAUAUUAUCGCAUCCAGUGUUUUAAAAGGCAAGUUUGGGACUCUUCAGGAUGGGGCACUGGCUAAUUAAAACGUCUUGAAACUCAAGUGUAGUACUUAAUUCUAUGAGGUUUACUUACGCCUUAAGCAUCCGAUCAUGUCUUAAAAAUGCUUAACACAAUGCUUGGGGUUCACCUAGUAACUCUUACAUAAAUUAAAUAUCAAAUUCCUUAGUCAACAUUGUUGAUCCUCAUAAUUCUUUAAUAAAUGAAUAAUGCUUAGUGUUUUUCAUCUAUAGAAUAGGAAAAACGAGAGUAGCUAUUCGUAGUAUUACUUAUUUACUUUUUGAGAAUGUGUAAGGGUGAUAUGACUUUUUUUUUUUUUUUUUAAAAUGCAUGCAUACAUACACACACACACAUAUAUCCGAAAUUUAUAUCUUCACUUGAUUGAUCCUUAUAUUUUUGGUCAAUGUCUCAAAAUUAUCAUAAUUUAUUAAUUUGUUAAUUAAAAGUACUUUAUUUUUAUUGGAGAAGUGAUGUUUUAAUUAUAAUACUAACAGUUUGUUGAUUUAUUUCUUUUGGGGGUGUAAACUGCAUAGUAUGGUAGCUAUAAUUUUUAAGACUUAUGAUUCUUUUAUUACUUGAAAGUUAAGAUGUUAGAGUUGAUUUAUAUCACACAAUAACUUUUAUAUCAUUAAAUUACUUCUACAAUGAUGUUAGAAGUUUUGUUUUCUAUGAGUAUUUUUAAUCAUGUUUUAAAUUUUGAAAAAUUAUUUAUGUAUUCUUUUUUAAAAUUGUUGUGUUAUUAUAAUAUUUAACUAUGUUAUAAGUUAAAACUAAAGAUUCACGGGUGUAAAGGUUUUAUGAAGAUAUGAGACUUGAUUAUUAUUCACGGAGUUCUUCCUCAAUACAUACAAGAUUCUAUAUAAAGUGUAGUUGAACACCAAUUCUUUAUAAACUAUAUAAUUUUAAUCAUAUGUAAAGAGAUAAACUAUACCAUUCUAAUCAAAUGUAAAUAUAAAUGUGACUUUUAUGGUUUUCUAACAUGCCCCCGCAAGCUGAGUAAUGGUUGUGCAACUGCAAGCUUGGAAUGCAAGAGAUGAAACCAAUGGGAAAGAAGGCUUUUGGUGAAGAUGUCUGCUCAGGAGCGGAGCCACCUUUGGUUUAGGGGGCCAUUCGAACCUCCUUUGGUGAAAAAUUAUAUUAUUUAAAUAUGGUUAUAAUAAUUUUUUAUGUAUAUAUAGUAGAGGUUGAACCCCUUUCGGCUCGUUCGUAUGUUCACUUUUUUAAUUUUUGAACCUCCUUUAUAGUACUCCUGGCUCCGCAGUCUGCUAACUGAUCCGAGGAACUGAUGUAGCGAACGUUUAGGUCCUUUGAGGCCACUAUCUCUCGAGUAAAAUGAAAAUCUUAUUCAAUAUGUUUGGUUCGUGCAUGAAAAAUAAGAUUGGCAGUGAAGUAGGUAGUGGACAGAUUAUCACCCCUUAGUAUGGGAGCUUGGGGAAGAGAGACACGCAUGCAAUUCCUGAAGAAGAUGUUGCAUCCAUGUAACUUCGACAGUAGCCACAGCUAAGGCCCAAUAUUCAGCCUCGAUACUACAUCGUGCAACCACUCGCUGUUUUUUUGAGCUCCAUGACACUAAAUUGGGUCCAAGAAAUAGACAUUAACCAUUGGUAGCUAGAUCGCCGAUCAUCUGGGUAGCCAGUCCAAUCUGCAUCUAUGAAGGCUUGAAGUGGUAAGGAGCUAGUGAAAUGCAAGUGCAAGCCGAGGUUUAUGGUUGCCUUUAAAUAGCGCAACAAACGUUUUAUAGCAGUGUAAUAAGACUCCAUAAAUUUAUGAAUGAAUUCACAUAAUUUGUUGACAGUAAAUGACAACAAAACUUAUACACUGUUUUUUUUUUUAAUUUAUAACAGGGCAUUAAAUUACAUAGUCCAUGAGUUUUUUGCAACACGAUGUACAAAAACUUUUGCUUUUUCUUUUGAUCACUAGCUCAAGAAAAUACACUGUAGAUUAUGACAGAUAUAGACUUGUUUGAGUACUAGAAAUACUAUAUUUUCAACAAGUUUCACAAAACAAUAAUAAUAACAAAGUAAUUAACCACUUGAUAUACAAGAGCGCAUAGGACACAAUUCCAAGAGUUAUAAAAUAUAGGACAACAUUAAUAUUGCAUGCAAUGCAAGAAGAUCCUAACUUUGUUGAUC